rnacentral:piRNA from 1 species
CGAUUCUGUUUGUGCACAUGGCUUAAAUA